rnacentral:lncRNA from 1 species
CAGAACAAUAUGGCAAAGAUUCAGCUCUCAACCAUAGUUUUGCAGCUUUUGUUCACCUCUCUUGUAGUUGCAAUGGCACUUGCAAUAGGUACUUUAAAAUUCAAAUCUCUAACCAUAAGAUUUGCUAAUAAAAUUUACAGGGGAGAACAACAUUAUCACUAGGAAACUCCUCCAAGGAUGUGGGGAUACUUUGGCACGAUGCUCCAAAGACGGUGAUUGUUGCCAAGGCCACUGUGCCUUCGCAGGCUCUGUGCUUGGCACCUGUCAGCCUAUUUAAUUAGCCACUUAAAUUACCUCAUAAACAUACUACCUAAGAGGAGUAAUUCAUCCAAUAAAUCUAUUUCCUUUGUGUGGCUUUAUAUACAAAUAUGGCUUUGUAUUUCUUGGCAAUGGCGA